UACAGAGGUCUCAAGCGUUGUUCGGAUUCAUUGGGCGUAAAGGGUGCGUAGGCGGCGGGGCAAGUCAGGUGUGAAAUCCCGGGGCUCAACCCCGGAACUGCACUUGAUACUGCCUUGCUAGAGUACUGGAGAGGAGACUGGAAUUUACGGUGUAGCAGUGAAAUGCGUAGAGAUCGUAAGGAAGGCCAGUGGCGAAGGCGAGUCUCUGGACAGUUACUGACGCUGAGGCACGAAGGCUAGGGGAGCAAACGGG
rnacentral:rRNA from 1 species